GUAAAGUUUCGGGUUUCUGCCUAAAUGCACCAUUUUCAGCCUAAAAGACAUUGAAGCCUAAUUACACGCUCUUACCAUCUCAAAAAGGGGUAGCUGUGCAGUACCAUGAAAUGGGGAUAGUAGUCAAGUGCCCAUGAAAAGACUAGAACCCAAUUGUAGAUGAACCUAGGAAAAGCCAGUAAUUUACAGAACAGAGAAAACUUCCUCCAUCAAGAGUCGAAACAGAGGAAAGUAGCUGCUCUGUCCGGAUACUGAGAGACAGUACACGCAGAAAAAUGCUACUAUGUGUUGUAGGGAAUUCCGACCGGUGAUGUUCUGAUAUUUGCCCAUUGGAGGCUAAGCACACUGACACAAUAUUUAACGUGGUUCGGCAAACCGCCUACAUCCACGGGAGAAGCCAUUUGAUUAUAUA
rnacentral:lncRNA from 1 species